rnacentral:lncRNA from 1 species
ACUAUAACCUUCGUGAGACAAGCUUCUUACCACUUUUGAUUUGGAAGUCUCCCUAUUUGCAGUUUUUUACUAACUUAAUAUUUAUAUUAAGAAAAGCACCCUGAAUUUUCUUUUGACAGUUUUUGAUGUCAGAAGCAGGAUCAGAAGAAGACCCCUGUGAAGCCCCAAGGCCAGUAACUAGGUGCUGGUACCCAGGGCCGCAGCACUGGCUGCUCUCUCACCCAGCCAUGGAGUUCUAGAGUAAGUCUCUUUUGAAUCUGAGCUCUCCUCCUUCUGUGUAGAACUCUCCAAUUAUGCUGAACAACCUUUGCUGAAACUUCUCAGGAAGUCAACCUAUUCUGUUCAAAAGGGGGAAGGGUGAAACACAUGAUUCCCUGUGUUCCAGAGCAGCUGCUGAAAAAAGAAUCCUUAAUAGUUAAGACCUUUCAGAGAAUCUAAUGCAAAGAUGGGGUCCAAAAACACUGUGGAUCAGAAUCUUGUGAACUUUACAAAGUUCACAAGAAAAAAUAGGUGAACUUUACAAAGAAUAAUUUGCAAUUUCAGUGACCACUUCGGAGAACCUUUAAUUUAGGUAAGAUAGUCUGCCUUUGGGAGUGCCCUUGAAGGAGGAGUAUCCUAAGCCUUUUGGAGACAAUGGAAUGCAUUCUUUGAUUUGUAUGCAGAAGCUGCUGAACACAAAAUGACUCAAAAAUAGCUUCUCUAAAAGCAUCCCUACAGCACUCAAAUAAAAAAAAAAUCUUCACUAAAAAGCUGUAGCCAUCUGAGCAGGUAACCUUGACUUGUUCCAUCUCUCACAGGUACAAUUUGGAUCCAGC